CGGCGAGGACGACUUCGUCACGCUCCGCACGGUCGGCUCG
rnacentral:sRNA from 1 species